GAUGAAGAACGUAGCGAAAUGCGAUAAGUAAUGUGAAUUGCAGAAUUCAGUGAAUCAUCGAAUCUUUGAACGCACAUUGCGCCCCUUGGUAUCCCGAGGGGCAUGCCUGUUCGAGCGUCAUUUCACCACUCAAGCGUGGCUUGGUGUUGGGCGACGUCCUCUUUGGGGACGCGCCUCGAAACGCUCGGCGGCGUGGCACCGGCUUUAAGCGUAGCAGAAUCUUUCGCUUUGGAAGUCGGGGCCCCGUCUGCCGGAAGACCUGCUCGCAAGGUUGACCUCGGAUCAGGCAGGGAUACCCGCUGAACUUAAGCAUAUCAAUAAGCGGAGGA
rnacentral:misc_RNA from 1 species